rnacentral:rRNA from 1 species
CCCACCUUUGACAUGUAUGGAAUCCUUUAGAGAUAGAGGAGUGCUCGAAAGAGAGCCAUAACACAGGUGCUGCAUGGCUGUCGUCAGCUCGUGUCGUGAGAUGUUGGGUUAAGUCCCGCAACGAGCGCAACCCUUGCCAUUAGUUGCUACGAAAGGGCACUCUAAUGGGACUGCCGGUGACAAACCGGAGGAAGGUGGGGAUGACGUCAAGUCCUCAUGG